AUGUAAGUAUAAACAAAUUCAUACUGUGCAACUACGAAUGGCUCAUUUAAUAAGUUAUACUUUGUUUGAUGGUAUCUACUACUCGGAUAACCAUAGUAAUUCUAGAGCUAAUAUGUGCAAAAAACCAGGACAUGUGGCCGAAAAUGGAUGGGCACUUAAGCGCGCGACGUACACUUAGCCGUCAGGGUAAGUGCCAGACCCCGAUGAGUUGGAGGGAAUGGCGGUAGCUACAAAACCUUGGGCAUAAGCCUGUGCGGAGCAGCCGUUAAGUGUAGAUCUUUGUGGGAG
rnacentral:rRNA from 1 species